GGUCCCGAUCCACAAAGCGUUCGUAGCGCUACGAUAUUCAUAAUACUAUGAUAAACUACAGAGUUACGACAGCUCGUAACGUUACGAACGCUUUGUGGAUCGGGCCCCUGGACGCUACGAUAUUCA